AUACUAAAAGCCAGAUAUAAAGCCCUCUGAAGGGGUCUACGUCGGAUUAAAAAAUCCACCAAUUAAAUGAUUCCAUUUUGACACGUCGUAUAUGCUUUGGUCCACAUAAACGGGUCUUUCAUUUGGGCUAUGUUUACUUUUGAUCCGAUUCAAGCCGAUCUCGCUACGGCUGAAACGCGUGAAGUUUGUUUUUCCUCGACGAUUCCUCUUCGUCAUCACCGAUCAAAUUUUCCGCAUUUCACCGUUACCGUAAUCCACUCUUGCUCUUUAAUUCUGAUUUAAUGGUUUCUUCCACCUUCUCCUCUAUCUCCUUUUAUAUAAAGCCAACCCUACUUGAAACUAUGCAGAAGCAGCUACAUCUACAGGCAUGGAAUCCACCGGCAUGUCUCCCCUCUCCACCGGCAGGUAACUAUUUGUCUUCUUCUUCUUUGAGAAAGUGUUUCACUUUCAUGGCUAUUAUACUGUAUUUAGUGGAGUUUAGGUUCUGCUAUGAUCAUUUGUUUGCGAUUUUGGUUAUAAAAUUUGCAUUUUGUAUGUUGAAGGUUUUGCUUUUGGAAUCUAUGUUUAGAGGUGUCUUUUCUGUGCCUGUGAAUAAUCCUCACUUGCGCAAAUCUGGAAGCGUAUACUCAUGAGACGAAGGCUUGCACUGCGACUUCGUGUGCCUUAUCUAUACCCUCCUGAGGACGAAGCUGACGGAGGAGCACGUGAAGUCGAUCGUCUGCGACGCGGUCGAAAUCGAGAGGGAGAUUGUGUGCGACGACUUCCGUGUGCGUCGGUGGGGAUAAACCGUGAGCUGAUGAGUCAGUAUAUCGAGUUCGUGGCAGAUAGGCUUUUGGGUGCGCUUGGGUAAGGAAUGUGUACGGUGUGGAAAAUCUGUUUGAUUGGAUGGAGGUUAUUUCGCUUCUGGAGAAAACGAACUUCUUCGAGAAGAGAGUUGGUGACUACCAGAAAGCUUCUGUUAUGUCUAGCGUUAAUGGAGGCGGCGCGUUUGAUAAUCAUUGAAAUUCAUGGCUAGGUACUAUUGCCAAAUUGCGAAGCCCUUUUAGUCCUUAGCAGCCUCAAGGUUGCUCUGUAGGUUGGUGGUCUUUAUAUUUGUGGAAAGAUUGGAUGGGAAUCUGUAAUGAAAAUGGGACAAGACACACGAGAACAGUCAAGGAUGAAGAGGACAGUCUAAAGAGGAAGGUAAAGGAGACUAUGGAGAAAGCUUUCUGGGAUAUUGUGAUGGAAUCAAUGAAACUGGAGGAGCCUGGGACGAGCUUUGCCAGAUGGUGCCUGAUAGCUGGAAAGUGGAAAUAACUGAAACUAUUGAUCUUGACCUACUCUCACAUGUUUGGCUCAUCUCUUCUGAUCUUUAGUGACUGAUCUGUUUAUAUAUAUAUUUCAACUGAUGUGGUUCUCAUUUCUUCUUUAUGUUGGUAGUUGCUUAAAUUUGGCACCUUGGAUAUUGAUUACCUUGGAAAGAUGCUUGAGUUUGCAUUAGCUACUCUUCGGAAACUCUCGGCUCCAGCUAAUGGCCGUGAGAAUAAAAGCACCCACCAGAGUUUACUGGAGGAACUUCACAGGUUGUGUCAAGCUAAAGAUGAGUCUGGUAGCCUCCAUGCUGUUGCAAUUGUCAAGGGGAUCCCCUUCAUUCUUGAGCAGAUUCACGUCUGUAUCCGUAAUACUUAUGUGAAUUAUUUUAGAUAAAUAGUUUUUAAUACUAAACAAGUCAUGCUCUUAACUAAAAUAAAUUAACUUAAUAUUUAUAUUUAUUUGACGAACAUCAAAUUUAUUUGAUUUACAAGAACAUAAACAUUACAUAAUAUCAUUUCACAAAGUAAAUUAACGAAUAAUCUAUAAACACAUAUGCAAAAUUAUAAAAAUAUAUAGGAAAACUAUAAGGAAAUAUAAAAA